rnacentral:lncRNA from 1 species
GUUAAAUUCGAUAAGAUUUAUACACAAUUUGUCGAAGGUUAGUAUUAUUGUUUGUUUUAAACUGUGAGAGAAGAUUAAUUGUGUACUAGAACACACCUCUGAGGCUCUGACCGAGUAUUUAGGGCAAAAUGUGCCUUCAUAUUUGGCUUCGUAUAGCGUUUUAUAAAUAUGUUUAUAUUUAUAAAACUAAAGUCUAGGUUAUAAACUGAAACAUGACCUUUAGUUUUUGAUAUUCUUCAUAGUCGAGUUUAAAUUGGCCUAAUUUAUAGUUAGUUACCACUAGAAAUGCGACGAUAUUUUGUUAAUAUAUCAUAUAUGCAACAGUGUUUACAACUUUUGAAUAAUAAGUGAUUUGGUUUUGUUUCAGAUACUAUUACAUGUUGCUUCAUUUUACCAUAAAUUGUGUUAAAAAAGUGAUUUGCUCAUUUGGCUGAUGUUACAGUUUACUGAUGUGUUUUGUUUGGAUGAUAUUAGAACAAUUUCAAUAUGAAAGUGCAGGUGUCAUUAGACAUGAGCCAUAAUGUAUAUAUAAAAAUACUGAUAAAAAUACUGACAUAAUACUGAUAAAAUCCGUUUCCAGCUUGAUUGUAUUUGCAUUUGUUGUAUUUGCAUUGUUGCAGACAAAGUUGUGCAAUGGUGGGCUUAUGUCACAUACCGUACUCAUAUGUAAUUCCAUGUGCCUGCAUGUACAGUACUUUGAUGCCUCAAGAGAUGCUUCGAAUGUGUAAUAAAGGGCUGUUCGCAGGAGUUGGGUUGUCUGGCCUUAAAUUGCAUUGUUUUUAUGAUAUUUUAAGAUUGUAUUCAUAUGGCUGGACCUUGUAUUCAUAUGCCAUUGCCACAAUGACUGAUGUUCAAACAGGCUUUAAAAUCAGGUUACAAUGCAUGCUUGAAAAUAUGCAACAAUUUCACUGCUAAUAAUAUUCCAGAAAAUCCUGCCUCUUGGGCAGAUCUGGACUGAUUUGUCAGAGGGGGUUGGAGGUUUUCUACUUGUGAUCGGGCAAGGGGCCGGGAGCUAGCCAAGGGUGCUGGGUCAGAGUCAAACUCAUGUGAACAGCUUCUAAGUCCUAAUUAUAUUGAUAAAUUAUGUACACUUUGGGAUGGUAAUGCAAUUUGUAAAAUAUUCCACAUUUUAUUUAAUAAAAUUUAAUUAUAUACAUUGUUUUUGUUGUUUAUAUGUUACCUUGGACAGUGUAUAUUUACACCUUUGGACCCUGUAAAUAAACACCUUUGGAGGGUGUGCCCAUUCUAAGCCAAAGACGUUUAAGAACAAUUGUCAAGCUAUUUGCAUGAUAAAAUAUAUUUAAAACUGCUCUCCAUAUACAUGUAAUGCAUGGUUCAAUUCUUGCUUUUACCAAGUAAAC